rnacentral:rRNA from 1 species
GAUGAACGCUAGCGGCAGGCUUAAUACAUGCAAGUCGAGGGGCAGCGGGGGUAGCAAUACCUGCCGGCGACCGGCAAACGGGUGCGGAACACGUACAGAACCUUCCUUUAAGUGGGGGAUAGCCCGAAGAAAUUCGGAUUAAUACCCCGUAAUAUUAUGGAGUGGCAUCACUUUAUAAUUAAAGAUUUAUCGCUUAGAGAUGGCUGUGCGGCUGAUUAGGUAGUUGGUGUAGGUAACGGCNCACCAAGCCUUCGAUCAGUAACUGGUGUGAGAGCACGACCAGUCACACGGGCACUGAGACACGGGCCCGACUCCUACGGGAGGCAGCAGUAAGGAAUAUUGGGCAAUGGACGCAAGUCUGACCCAGCCAUGCCGCGUGAAGGAUGAAGGUCCUCUGGAUUGUAAACUUCUUUUAUCUGGGAAGAAAUCCUAUUUUUUCUAAAGUGGUUGACGGUACCAGAUGAAUAAGCACCGGCUAACUCCGUGCCA